rnacentral:rRNA from 1 species
GAUGAACGCUGGCGGCGUGCCUAAUACAUGCCAGUCGAGCGAACGGACGAGAAGCUUGCUUCUCUGAUGUUAGCGGCGGACGGGUGAGUAACACGUGGAUAACCUACCUAUAAGACUGGGAUAACUUCGGGAAACCGGAGCUAAUACCGGAUAAUAUUUUGAACCGCAUGGUUCAAAAGUGAAAGACGGUCUUGCUGUCACUUAUAGAUGGAUCCGCGCUGCAUUAGCUAGUUGGUAAGGUAACGGCUUACCAAGGCAACGAUGCAUAGCCGACCUGAGAGGGUAAUCGGCCACACUGGAACUGAGACACGGUCCAGACUCCUACGGGAGGCAGCAGUAGGGAAUCUUCCGCAAUGGGCGAAAGCCUGACGGAGCAACGCCGCGUGAGUGAUGAAGGUCUUCGGAUCGUAAAACUCUGUUAUUAGGGAAGAACAUAUGUGUAAGUAACUGUGCACAUCUUGACGGUACCUAAUCAGAAAGCCACGGCUAACUACGUG